UUGAACGCUGGCGGCAGGCCUAACACAUGCAAGUCGAGCGGUAGCACAGAGAGCUUGCUCUCGGGUGACGAGCGGCGGACGGGUGAGUAAUGUCUGGGAAACUGCCUGAUGGAGGGGGAUAACUACUGGAAACGGUAGCUAAUACCGCAUAAUGUCGCAAGACCAAAGUGGGGGACCUUCGGGCCUCAUGCCAUCAGAUGUGCCCAGAUGGGAUUAGCUAGUAGGUGGGGUAACGGCUCACCUAGGCGACGAUCCCUAGCUGGUCUGAGAGGAUGACCAGCCACACUGGAACUGAGACACGGUCCAGACUCCUACGGGAGGCAGCAGUGGGGAAUAUUGCACAAUGGGCGCAAGCCUGAUGCAGCCAUGCCGCGUGUGUGAAGAAGGCCUUCGGGUUGUAAAGCACUUUCAGCGGGGAGGAAGGCGUUAAGGUUAAUAACCUUGGCGAUUGACGUUACCCGCAGAAGAAGCACCGGCUAACUCCGUGCCAGCAGCCGCGGUAAUACGGAGGGUGCAAGCGUUAAUCGGAAUUACUGGGCGUAAAGCGCACGCAGGCGGUCUGUCAAGUCGGAUGUGAAAUCCCCGGGCUCAACCUGGGAACUGCAUUCGAAACUGGCAGGCUAGAGUCUUGUAGAGGGGGGUAGAAUUCCAGGUGUAGCGGUGAAAUGCGUAGAGAUCUGGAGGAAUACCGGUGGCGAAGGCGGCCCCCUGGACAAAGACUGACGCUCAGGUGCGAAAGCGUGGGGAGCAAACAGGAUUAGAUACCCUGGUAGUCCACGCCGUAAACGAUGUCGAUUUGGAGGUUGUGCCCUUGAGGCGUGGCUUCCGGAGCUAACGCGUUAAAUCGACCGCCUGGGGAGUACGGCCGCAAGGUUAAAACUCAAAUGAAUUGUCGGGGGCCCGCACAAGCGGUGGAGCAUGUGGUUUAAUUCGAUGCAACGCGAAGAACCUUACCUGGUCUUGACAUCCACAGAACUGUCCAGAGAUGGAUUGGUGCCUUCGGGAACUGUGAGACAGGUGCUGCAUGGCUGUCGUCAGCUCGUGUUGUGAAAUGUUGGGUUAAGUCCCGCAACGAGCGCAACCCUUAUCCUUUGUUGCCAGCGGUCCGGCCGGGAACUCAAAGGAGACUGCCAGUGAUAAACUGGAGGAAGGUGGGGAUGACGUCAAGUCAUCAUGGCCCUUACGACCAGGGCUACACACGUGCUACAAUGGCAUAUACAAAGAGAAGCGACCUCGCGAGAGCAAGCGGACCUCAUAAAGUAUGUCGUAGUCCGGAUUGGAGUCUGCAACUCGACUCCAUGAAGUCGGAAUCGCUAGUAAUCGUAGAUCAGAAUGCUACGGUGAAUACGUUCCCGGGCCUUGUACACACCGCCCGUCACACCAUGGGAGUGGGUUGCAAAAGAAGUAGGUAGCUUAACCUUCGGGAGGGCGCUUACCACUUUGUGAUUCAUGACUGGGGUG
rnacentral:rRNA from 1 species